rnacentral:rRNA from 1 species
GACAGAGGGUGCAAACGUUGUUCGGAAUUACUGGGCGUAAAGCGAGUGUAGGCGGUUUGGUAAGUCGGAUGUGAAAGCCCCGGGCUCAACCCGGGAAGUGCACUCGAUACUACCAAGCUAGAGUAUCGGAGAGGUUGGUGGAAUUCUCGGUGUAGAGGUGAAAUUCGUAGAUAUCGAAAGGAACACCGGUGGCGAAGGCGGCCAACUGGACGAAUACUGACGCUGAGACUCGAAAGCGUGGGGAGCAAACAGG